rnacentral:rRNA from 1 species
CCUACGGGUGGCAGCAGUGGGGAAUAUUGCACAAUGGGGGGAACCCUGAUGCAGCGACGCCGCGUGGGUGAAGGAGUACUUCGGUACGUAAAGCCCUAUCAGCAGGAAAGAAAAUGACGGUACCUGACUAAGAAGCCCCGGCUAACUACGUGCCAGAAGCCUCGGUAAUACGUAGGGGGAAAGCGUUAUCAGGAUUUACUGGGGGUAAAGGGAGCGUAGACGGCCGUGCAAGUCCGGAGUGAAAGCCCGGGGCUCAACCCUGGGACUUCUCUGGAAACUGCAAAGCUGAAGUGCGGGAGGGGCAGGCGGAAUUCCUGGUUGAGCGGUGAAAUGCGUAGGUAUCAGGAGGAACACCGGCGGCGAAGGCGGCCUGCUGGACCGUAACUGACACUGAGGCUCGAAAGUGUGGGUAUCAAACAGGAUUAGAUACCCUAGUAGUC